UACGAAGGGGGCUAGCGUUGCUCGGAAUCACUGGGCGUAAAGCGCACGUAGGCGGCUUUCUAAGUCAGGGGUGAAAUCCUGGAGCUCAAACUCCAGAACUGCCUUUGAUACUGGAGAGCUAGAGUCCGGAAGAGGUGAGUGGAACUGCGAGUGUAGAGGUGAAAUUCGUAGAUAUUCGCAAGAACACCAGUGGCGAAGGCGGCUCACUGGUCCGGUACUGACGCUGAGGUGCGAAAGCGUGGGGAGCAAACAGGG
rnacentral:rRNA from 1 species